GAUGAACGCUGGCGGCGUGCCUAAUACAUGCAAGUCGAGCGAAGCGGGGACGGGUGAGUAACAGGUGGAUAACCUCCUAUAAGACUGGGAUAACUUCGGGAAACCGGAGCUAAACCGGAAACUGAUAGAUGGAUGCGCGCUGAAUUAGCUAGUUGGUAAGGGAACGGCGUACCAAGGCAACGAUGCAUAGCCGACCUGAGAGGGUGAUCGGCCACACGGGAACUGAGACACGGUCCAGACGCCUACGGGAGGCAGCAGUGGGGAAUCUUCCGCAAUGGGCGAAAGCCUGACGGAGCAACGCCGCGUGAGUGAUGAAGGUCUUCGGAUCGUAAAACUCUGUUAGUAGGGAAGCGGUACCUAAUCAGAAAGCCCCGGCUAACUACGUGCCAGCAGCCGCGGUAAUUC
rnacentral:rRNA from 1 species